rnacentral:rRNA from 1 species
GCGCAGCAGUCGCGAAAACUCUGCAAUACGCGAAAGCGUGACAGGGCUACCCCGAGUGUCGUCCGCUGAGGACGACUUUUCCACGCUGUAAGGAGGCGUGGGAAUAAGGAGAGGGCAAGUCUGGUGUCAGCCGCCGCGGUAAUACCAGCUCUCCGAGUGGUAGGGACGUUUAUUGGGCUUAAAGCGUCCGUAGCCGGCUCAACAAGUCUCCCGUUAAAUCCAACGAUUCAAUCGUUGGACUGCGGGAGAUACUGCUGGGCUAGGAGGCGAGAGGCUACCGGUAGUCCCGGGGUAGGAGUGAAAUCCUCUGAUCCCGGGAGGACCUGCAGUGGCGAAGGCGGGUAGCCAGAACGCGCUCGACGGUGAGGGGCGAAAGCUGGGGGAGCGAACCGGAUUAGAUACCCGUGUAGUCC